rnacentral:rRNA from 1 species
GUCUACGGCCAUGCCACCCUGAACAAGCCCGAUCCCAUCUGAUCUCGGAAGCUAAGCAGGUUCGGGCCUGGUUAGUACUUGGGUGGGAGACCACCUAGGAGGACCAGGUGCUGUAGGCG